UUCCACCCAGUGCUACGGCUAAGUUAGCCUCCACAUUUCCACCUUGCUAGGUUCCACCCAGUGCUACGGCUAAGUUAGCCUCCACAUUUCCACCUUGCUCGGUUCCACCCAGUGCUACGGCUAAGUUAGCCUCCACAUUUCCACCCUGUUAGGUUCCACCUUGCUAGGUUCCACCCAGUGCUACGGCUAAGUUAGCCUCCACAUUUCCACCUUGCUCGGUUCCACCCAGUGCUACGGCUAAGUUAGCCUCCACAUUUCCACCCUGUUAGGUUCCACCUUGCUAGGUUCCACCCAGUGCUACGGCUAAGUUAGCC